rnacentral:lncRNA from 1 species
UCCUUAGUAGGGAGUAAAGGCCAUGCCAUCAGCACUGUCUUCUCUGGACAUUCCAUUGUAUCCUGGAGAGCUCACGGCAUCCCCUGUGAUGUCACCAGCGUUGUGGCAACACCCACUGCUCUUAGAGACUUCAGUCAGUGACUACAGAGUCAAUCUGUAGACAUGUUUUCUAGACUGAGGAGUCUACUUGGGAGAAAAAAAAAUGGGGAGCAUGGUGAGACCAGAGAAAGGCAGAAGGAAGCUGUCCUUCCAUCUGAGAGUCAUUCAGGAAGAAAGAAACGGUCCUGAAGAAGACAUAAAGUUUGCUGGGGAAACAGAUUCUCUUUUGCUUUGCUGAGCAGCAAGCUUGUAUUCCUCUAUAUCCGUUUGCAUUUCUAUGGAAGUCUGUGCAUGCCUGUGUAUAACCCUCCACUAAGGACACCAUCUUCUAAUGAACAGCACAUGGAAAGAAUGGAGGAAAUGUUGCAGUAUGUGGUGAAACUGACGAUGGCCAUCAAGCAAAAGGAGUUAGCAUAGAAGCUGCAGCAUCACU